rnacentral:misc_RNA from 1 species
AACUUUUAGCAACGUGUCACUUGGUUCCGGCAUCGAUUAAGAACGCAGCGAAAUGCGAUAAGUAAUGUGAAUUGCAGAAUUCCGUGAAUCAUCGAAUCUUUGAACGCACAUUGCGCCCCCUGGCAUUCCGGGGGGCAUGCCUGUCCGAGCGUCAUUUCUGCCCUCCAGCCCGGCUGGGUGUUGGGUGCUGUCCCCCCGGGGACACGCCCCAAAGGCAGUGGCGGCGCCGCGUCGGGUCCUCGAGCGUAUGGGGCUUUGUCACUCGCUCGGGAAGGACUCGUCGGCGCUGGUCUUCCUCCAGGCGACCCUUCGGGGCUCGUCUUCUUUCGGUUGACCUCGGAUCAGGUAGGGUUACCCGCUGAACUUAAGCAUAUCAAUAAGCGGAGGCU